GUCCGUGUAGCUCAGCAGGAUAGAGCACCGCCCUCCUAAGGCGGGUUUUGCGGGGGUUCGAAUCCCUUCACGGACG
rnacentral:tRNA from 1 species